UACGUAGAAGACUAGUGUUAUUCAUCUUUAAUAGGUUUUAAAGGGUACCUAGACGGUAUAAUUAGUCUUAAACAGGAUACGAUUAUACUAGAGUUAUAUAUGAGGAGGUGAGUAUUUAUGCAGUAGAGUUGAAAUUCGUUGAUAGCAUAACGACUGGUAACGGCGAAAGCAACCUUUUAUCUAAUAACUGACGUUGAGGGACGAAAGGCUCGGG
rnacentral:rRNA from 1 species